rnacentral:rRNA from 1 species
AAGAUUCUUCGGAUGGUUGAUUGGUGACUGAGUGGCGGACGGGUGAGUAACGCGUGGGUAACCUGCCCUGUACAGGGGGAUAACAGUUGGAAACGGCUGCUAAUACCGCAUAAGCGCACGAGAGGACAUCCUCUUGUGUGAAAAACUCCGGUGGUACAGGAUGGGCCCGCGUCUGAUUAGCUGGUUGGCAGGGUAACGGCCUACCAAGGCGACGAUCAGUAGCCGGUCUGAGAGGAUGAACGGCCACAUUGGAACUGAGACACGGUCCAAACUCCUACGGGAGGCAGCAGUGGGGAAUAUUGCACAAUGGGGGAAACCCUGAUGCAGCAACGCCGCGUGAGUGAAGAAGUAUUUCGGUAUGUAAAGCUCUAUCAGCAGGGAAGAUAAUGACGGUACCUGACUAAGAAGCUCCGGCUAAAUACGUGCCAGCAGCCGCGGUAAUACGUAUGGAGCAAGCGUUAUCCGGAUUUACUGGGUGUAAAGGGUGCGUAGGUGGCAGUGCAAGUCAGAUGUGAAAGGCCGGGGCUCAACCCCGGAGCUGCAUUUGAAACUGCGCGGCUAGAGUACAGGAGAGGCA